rnacentral:rRNA from 1 species
AACGAACGCUGGCGGCAGGCUUAACACAUGCAAGUCGAGCGCCCCGCAAGGGGAGCGGCAGACGGGUGAGUAACGCGUGGGAAUCUACCCAUCUCUACGGAAUAACGCAUGGAAACGUGUGCUAAUACCGUAUACGUCCUUCGGGAGAAAGAUUUAUCGGAGAUGGAUGAGCCCGCGUUGGAUUAGCUAGUUGGUGGGGUAAAGGCCUACCAAGGCGACGAUCCAUAGCUGGUCUGAGAGGAUGAUCAGCCACACUGGGACUGAGACACGGCCCAGACUCCUACGGGAGGCAGCAGUGGGGAAUAUUGGACAAUGGGCGCAAGCCUGAUCCAGCCAUGCCGCGUGAGUGAUGAAGGCCCUAGGGUUGCAAAGCUCUUUCACCGGUGAAGAUAAUGGCGGUAACCGGAGAAGAAGCCCCGGCUAACUUCGUGCCAGCCGCCGCAGUAAUAC